rnacentral:piRNA from 1 species
UGAGAGAGGGUCUCAUGUAUUCUUGGCCAGC